CCUACGGGAGGCAGCAGUGGGGAAUCUUGCGCAAUGGGCGAAAGCCUGACGCAGCAACGCCGCGUGCGGGAAGAAGGCUUUCGGGCUGUAAACCGCUUUCAGCAGGAACGAAAAUGACGGUACCUGCAGAAGAAGGAGCGGCCAACUAUGUGCCAGCAGCCGCGGUGAUACAUAGGCUUCAAGCGUUGUCCGGAUUUAUUGGGCGUAAAGAGUUCGUAGGCGGUCGAGUAAGUCGGGUGUGAAAAUUCUGGGCUCAACCCAGAGACGCCACCCGAUACUGCUUGACUUGAGUUCGAUAGGGGAGUGGGGAAUUCCUAGUGUAGCGGUGAAAUGCGCAGAUAUUAGGAGGAACACCGGUGGCGAAGGCGCCACUCUGGAUCGAUACUGACGCUGAGGAACGAAAGCAUGGGUAGCAAACAGGAUUAGAUACCCUGGUAGUCCAUGCUGUAAACGGUGGGCACUAGGUGUGGGUUUCUAUUAACGAAAUCCGCGCCGUCGCUAACGCAUUAAGUGCCCCGCCUGGGGGAGGUACGGUCGCGAGAACUAAACUACAAGAAGUAGACGGCGNGAGACGUGCCGACGGACGACGACGAGGGAGGUAGG
rnacentral:rRNA from 1 species